CAGUUCUCUAGAAAGCCUUGGGUAUUUUAUGCAGACUUCAUUGGAUAGGCAUGAUUGAAGCAUGGCUAACCAUGUUGGAAUGUGAUUGGACAAAUAGAGUAUGAUUUAAACCCAGUAAGGCCUGUGCAGAUUCUUCUUGGCGUCUCUAUGCAGCAUUCCUUAC